rnacentral:lncRNA from 1 species
AUGAAGUGCUGGGCCAGUUGCUGGGCACCGGACAACAGAACGUUCUGUGACACCGGAAAGGUCCUGUACCUGCCCUGUCCAGCAAGGGAGCCACCAGCCUCCUGUGAGCCUCUACCGUGGGGACUGGAUCUCCCACCUCCGGGAAGCGCCGGCCAGGACCGGGUGCCGAGACAGAAGGCGACCCCGGGGGAGUCGUGCGGACACUCCACUGCCCCUAAACGUCCGGGAGGUGAGGUGCUUAUCCAACAGAAGGGCUGAGUCCCUGGAGACCAUGCCCAGACCCCCUCCCCCCACCCGAACCGCCUGACCUCGGAGAAGCCACCUGACCUCGGUCCGUCCCAACCCCGCAGGUGACCCUUCCUGGCCCAGGUGACCCUGACCGGGGCCCAGAGGCCCUGCUCUAACAGCAGAUGCUACCUGGGAGACAGGGCCAGCGCGGACACAGGACUGUGGGACAGUGUGCCUCUCAGUAUGGUUCCUCUGCUCGCCCCUAAAAUGGCCCCUGGUGGCUGAAGGAAUAAACGCGGAGAAGUACCUGGCA